rnacentral:rRNA from 1 species
GUCUACAGCCAUGCCACCCUGAACGUGCCCAAUCUUGUCUGAUCUUGGAAGCUAAGCAGGGUCAGGCCUGGUUAGUACUUGGAUAGGAGACCACCUAGGAAUACCAGGUGCUGCAGGCA